GGAUAUGUUUGGAGAGGUUGGUCCACUUUGUUGUAGACCUCAAAGCUUUACCUAUAGAACCAAGACUCUCACACAACUCCUGAGACUGAAGACCAAUACUCUUAUAGAAGCAAUGCAGAUUAAAAAAGAAGACAACAUACAAAUACGCAAAAAUUUCCUUGAGCAUUUCAAGCAGCUCAAGGAUCUGAGUAUCAGAGAUUUGAUGGUGGAGAAUGUGGAAGAAGAGGACCCUAACAAGUUCACAUCCAUGUUAGGGUCCUCUUCUUCCACAUUCUCCACCAUCAAAUCUCUGAUACUCAGAUCCUUGAGCUGCUUGAAAUGCUGCAUUUGCAUCACUUCUAUUAU